UUAAGUUCAGCGGGUAUCCCUACCUGAUUCGAGGAGUUCCAAUGUCAUGCUCUCCCCGCCCGGCACACGGGCCAGGGCUGGCAGCCUCGCCGCGUCGGAGCGCCGAUGGGUCAUAUCACGCUCGGCAACGCGACAGGCGUCCGCCCAUGGAUUCCUGCGGGGUGGCUGCCCUGCCGGGACUGCCGCCGCCGCCACAACCA
rnacentral:misc_RNA from 1 species